rnacentral:rRNA from 1 species
UACGAGGGGGGCAAGCGUUGUUCGGAAUUAUUGGGCGUAAAGGGCGCGUAGGCGGUGUCGCAAGUCCGUGGUGAAAUCUCUAGGCUCAACUUAGAGACUGCCGCGGAAACUGCGGUGCUUGAGUGUGGGAGAGGUGCGUGGAAUUCCUGGUGUAGCGGUGAAAUGCGUAGAUAUCAGGAGGAACACCUGUGGCGAAAGCGGCUCACUGGACCACAACUGACGCUGAGGCGCGAAAGCUAGGGGAGCAAACAGG